rnacentral:rRNA from 1 species
UUGGAGGGCAAGUCUGGUGCCAGCAGCCGCGGUAAUUCCAGCUCCAAUAGCGUAUAUUAAAGUUGUUGCAGUUAAAAAGCUCGUAGUUGAAUUUCGGGGUUCAUACGUUGGUCGGGCUUUUUGGUCUGUACUAGCGUAAUGGAUUCCUACCUUCUGAAUAACCGGCAUGCCAUUAAUUUGGUGCGUCGGGGAAGCAGGACUGCUACCUUGAAAAAAUUAGAGUGCUUAAAGCAGGCUAUCGCCUGAAUACAUUAGCAUGGAAUAAUGAAAUAGGACGGCAUGGUUCUAUUUUGUUGGUUUCUAGGAUCACCGUAAUGAUUAAUAGGGAUAGUUGGGGGCAUUAGUGUUCAAUUGUCAGAGGUGAAAUUCUUGGAUUUAUUGAAGACUAACUUCUGCGAAAGCAUUUGCCAAGGAUGUUUUCAUUAAUCAAGAACGAAAGUUAGGGGAUCGAAGACGAUCAGAUACCGUCGUAGUCUUAACCAUAAACUAUGCCGACUAGGAAUCGGACGAUGUUAAUUUUUUAAUGACUCGUUCGGCGCCUUACGGGAAAC